rnacentral:rRNA from 1 species
GACGAACGCUGGCGGCGUGCUUAACACAUGCAAGUCGAACGGACAGACCCUGCUUUUGUUGGUUUCUCGAGUGGCGAACGGGUGAGUGACACAUGAGUAACCUACCCUUGACUUUUGGGUAACUUCACGAAACUCAGGCUAAUACCGCAUAUGAUCUCCUGCUGCACGGUGGGCGUUAGUAAGUUUCGGCGGUUGGGGAUGGACUCGCGGCUUAUCAGCUUGUUGGUGGGGUAGUGGCUUACCAAGGCUUUGACGGGUAGCCGGCAUGAGAGGGUUACCGGCCACAUUGGGACUGAGAUACGGCCCAGACUCCUACGGGAGGCAGCAGUGGGGAAUAUUGCACAAUGGGCGGAAGCCUGAUGCAGCAACGCCGCGUGCGGGAUGACGGCAUUCGGGUUGUAAACCGCUUUCGCAUGUGACGAAGCGUGAGUGACGGUAAUGGGUAAAGAAGCACCGGCUAACUACGUG